UUUUAAAUUAAUUUGGACAAAAAUUGAUAAUGGCUAAAUUGAUCACACCUUUUGCUUGCAUAGGUACGGCAGGUCCUUUGGCGCGAGUUUAAGCCACAUUGAACGACACUGUUUAGCAUCUUCCUAACUAUAUAUCAACAGAAGCAGUGGAGCAGAGUCUGUUUCAGUUUCUCUGUGCGCAGAACACGCCCUGAUUCAAAUAGAAAGGAAGAAGCCAUGGAUGCCCCCGACAGCUACGAGCGAUUAGUUGUUCCAGAGGGUACUAAAAAAAAAUUUUCUUUGCUAGGGUUUCGUACGAGAGAGACACGAAGAUCAUAAAUGCAGCCUUGUUCACUGUAGAGAGAGAGGACCAUACAAUUGGCAACAUUCUUCGCAUAUUCAUUCAACUAGCCAGUCUUCGCCAAUGCAGGCAUAUAACCAGGCUAUCAAUGAUCUAGACAAGGAACUUGACCAUUUGAAGAAUGCAUUUGAGGC